ensembl:misc_RNA 7SK 7SK RNA
GGUUAUGAGGGCAAUCUGGCUGUGACAUCUGUCAUCCCAUUUAUUACCAGGGUCGAUUUGGCUGAUCUGUCUGGCUAGGCGGGUGUCCCCUUCCUCCUUACCACUCCACGUACAUCCCUCCUGAAGCUGUGCUCUUGGUCUAAGAGGAUAACUAUCCCCAGUAGAGGAGGACCAUUCUUCCAUCAAGGAUAUACAAGUAGCUGUGCUCCCCUGCUAGAACCUCCAAACAAGCUCUCAAGGUCCAUUUGUAGGAGAACUUAGGUUAGUCAAACUUCCAAGAGGUGCUGCGUGUGGCAGUCUGCCUUUCUUU